UCAUUUACUCAGACACAUUUGUUUCUCACUCUCUACUCCGGCGACCCACUCGUCUCCGACCACCAUAUCAGCUACGGAGAUCUUCUCAGUGGCGUCAGUGAGCUCUUUGUUCUUCCUUGUGUUCGUGAAUCCCGCACUGAAUCUCUCUCGUUGUGAACUGUUCGUGAAUCUCAUUGAACUUUUCGCGAUUGAACGAAGUUUCGCGUCUGUUCUGUUUGCGAUUGAACGAAGUUUUGUGCUGAUUUUUGAGAAAUAUGUUAAGGAUUGGAUUGCAAUUCUGCACCAUUCUAGGUGAAUUUGGAUACUGUUUCUAACAAUGGUUAGCACUUUCAUGGUUGCACUGAUUGUAUUAAACAAUGCUACGGCUCGACACCGCCAUUCAAGUGUAGAGAUGGACAUUCAACCAAUGUUCCAAUUAUAAGGUAUAGGAUUGAUGUUGAGGUCUGCCAUGGCAAUGAUUUAGCCAAGCUGAAGAGUUGGGUAAAGAACCCACAGUGGACGAGGUCUUUCUAAGAACUCAUAUUCGUAAGAAGGACACAUCUUGGGUUGAUCUUAGAUCUCAAAACACUUAUUUUUCAGAUUAAGUUGAAUCGGGCCUCAGAAGGUGCGGAUGAGAGUGACUCCCAAUUGGUCAACUCGGUGACUCGUUUAAAGAUGUGGGCCCAAUCAGCUGGGGGGAAAAUUGAGGACGUCUCUAUGGUGUUGGAGAUAGGUCCUCGAAUUAUAGACCAGGUGUUUCAAGUGUUGCCCCAGACACACUUGAGGAGCGAGCAAAGGCAACAGAGGAUGAGGUUCGAAAUACAAGGAAGGAACUUAAGCAAGCCGAGCUUAAGCGACAAAAGGAAGUUCAGCAGUCAGAGCAGCGUGCUGCAGAUUUCCCGAGGCAGCUGAUAAUGUUGACAAACAGUGUAGCUGCCAUACAGGUUAUGAUGAGGAUGAGUCCGAGGAUGUAUCUGAGGAUGAUGACAAUGAGGAAAAUUGGUAUUUAGUGUGUGUUGUUAUUAUGACUUCAUUUUAUGCUUAGAUUAUUAAUGGUGCAUUUUGUUAUUACGACUGAUUAAGCUUAAACUAACGGCUAUAUCUUUUGUCCAAACUACUAGUUUCUUAUCUGUUUAUUUUGACACUUGUAAUAGUGUCAAUUUUUGUUAACACUGCAUUUUAGUUUGAGGAAAUGAUCUUUUGAUGACUCAAUUUAAUUAGUUUUGAAUUUAGUUAUUGUUUAGUUUGUUUGGAAUUGGUUCUUAUGUUGGAUGACA